rnacentral:rRNA from 1 species
GAUCAUGGCUCAGAAUGAACGCUGGCGGCAUGGAUUAGGCAUGCAAGUCGAACGUACUCCCUUCGGGGAGAAAGUGGCGAAAGGGUGAGUAACACGUGAGCAACCUGCCUCCGGAUCCGGAAUAAUCCAGGGAAACUUGGUCUAAAACCGAAUGAAGACAUUGGUCCGCAUGGUCUAAUGUUAAAAUAUUUAUAGUCCGGAGAGGGGCUCGCGGCCCAUUAGCUUGUUGGCGGGGUAAUGGCCCACCAAGGCUACGACGGGUAGGUGGUCUGAGAGGAUGGUCACCCACACUGGGACUGAGACACUGCCCAGACUCCUACGGGAGGCUGCAGUCGAGAAUCUUCCGCAAUGGGCGCAAAGCCUGACGGAGCGAUGCCGCGUGAGGGAUGAAGGCCUUCGGGUUGUAAACCUCUGUCAUCCGGGACGAAAACAAUGACGGUACCGGAAAAGGAAGCCACGGCUAACCACGUGCCAGCAGCCGC